AAGUCGAGGGGCAGCAUGGUCUUAGCUUGCUAAGGCUGAUGGCGACCGGCGCACGGGUGAGUAACACGUAUCCAACCUGCCCUUCACAGGGGGAUAACCGGGAGAAAUUCCGACUAAUACCGCAUACGUCCUCCGGGGGCAUCCCCGGGGGAUGAAAGAGUUAUCGGUGAAGGAUGGGCAUGCGUGAUAUUAGGUAGUUGGCGGGGCAACGGCCCACCAAGCCCACGAUAUCUAGGGGUUCUGAGAGGAAGGUCCCCACAUUGGUACUGAGACACGGACCAAACUCC
rnacentral:rRNA from 1 species